rnacentral:rRNA from 1 species
UCGAGAAUCUUCCGCAAUGGGCGAAAGCCUGACGGAGCGAUGUCGCGUGAUGGAUGAAGAGCUUCGGUUUGUAAACAUCUUUUAUGCGGGAAGAACGUUGACGGUACCGCAUGAAUAAGGGGUUGCUAAACUCGUGCCAGCAGCAGCGGUAAUACGAGUACCCCGAGCAUUAUCCGGAAUUAUUGGGCGUAAAGGGUGAGUAGGCGGUACAAUUAGUCGUGUGUUAAAUCCCAGAGCUUAACUUUGGAUU